rnacentral:tRNA from 2 species
GCCCUGGUAGUAUAGUCCGGUCUAGUAUGCUCGGCUGUCACCCGAGCGAUCCCGGGUCCGAAUCCCGGCCAGGGCGCCA